GUGUUUACUUGCUCUGUGGCCUUGGCAGGGUGAGCAGCACUGUCUUAUCAUACAGCUGCUACGUCUCCCAUCAUCUAUGGAGGCACAAAGUUGAAGUCUGGAAAGGUUAU